rnacentral:rRNA from 1 species
GACGAACGCUGGCGGCGUGCUUAACACAUGCAAGUCGAACGGAAAGGCCCUGCUUUUGUGGGGUGCUCGAGUGGCGAACGGAUGAGUAACACGUGAGUAACCUGCCCUUGACUUUGGGAUAACUUCAGGAAACUGGGGCUAAUACCGGAUAGGAGCUCCUGCUGCAUGGUGGGGGUUGGAAAGUUUCGGCGGUUGGGGAUGGACUCGCGGCUUAUUAGCUUGUUGGUGGGGGAGUGGCUUACCAAGGCUUUGACGGGUAGCCGGCCUGAGAGGGUGACCGGCCACAUUGGGACUGAGAUACGGCCCAGACUCCUACGGGAGGCAGCAGUGGGGAAUAUUGCACAAUGGGCGGAAGCCUGAUGCAGCAACGCCGCGUGCGGGAUGACGGCCUUCGGGUUGUAAACCGCUUUCGCCUGUGACGAAGCGUGAGUGACGGUAAUGGGUAAAGAAGCACCGGCUAACUACGUG